rnacentral:rRNA from 1 species
AUGCAAGUCGAGGGGUAACAGGUAAAAGGCUUGCUUUUUACGCCGACGACCGGCGCACGGGUGAGUAACGCGUAUGCAACCUACCUUUAACAGGAAGAUAGCCCCGAGAAAUCGGGAUUAAUACUCCAUAAUAUAUUGAUAUCGCAUGGUAUUAAUAUUAAGGCUCCGGCGGUUAAAGAUGGGCAUGCGUGACAUUAGUUAGUUGGUGAGGUAACGGCUCACCAAGACAACGAUGUCUAGGGGUUCUGAGAGGAUUGUCCCCCACACUGGUACUGAGACACGGACCAGACUCCUACGGGAGGCAGCAGUGAGGAAUAUUGGUCAAUGGGCGAGAGCCUGAACCAGCCAUGCCGCGUGCAGGAUGACGGUUCUAUGAAUUGUAAACUGCUUUUCUACAGGAAGAAACCUACCCUCGUGAGGGUAGUUGCCGGUACUGUAGGAAUAAGCACCGGCUAACUCCGUGCCAGCAGCCGCGGUAAUACGGAGGGUGCAAGCGUUAUCCGGAUUUAUUGGGUUUAAAGGGUGCGUAGGCGGAAUAUUAAGUCAGUGGUGAAAUCCUGCGGCUCAACCGUAGAACUGCCAUUGAUACUGAUAUUCUUGAAUGUAGUUGAGGUAGGCGGAAUGUGUAAUGUAGCGGUGAAAUGCUUAGAUAUUACACAGAACACCGAUUGCGAAGGCAGCUUACUAAACUAUGAUUGACGCUGAGGCACGAAAGCGUGGGGAGCGAACAGGAUUAGAUACCCUGGUAGUCCACGCUGUAAACGAUGAUCACUCGUUGUUUGCGAUAUAUUGUAAGCGACUGAGCGAAAGCAUUAAGUGAUCCACCUGGGGAGUACGUUCGCAAGAAUGAAACUCAAAGGAAUUGACGGGGGCCCGCACAAGCGGAGGAACAUGUGGUUUAAUUCGAUGAUACGCGAGGAACCUUACCUGGGUUUAAAUGUAGGUUGCAUGAAUGGGAAACUGUUCUUUCUUUCGGGACUACCUACAAGGUGCUGCAUGGUUGUCGUCAGCUCGUGCCGUGAGGUGUCGGGUUAAGUCCCAUAACGAGCGCAACCCCUAUCGUUAGUUGCCAUCAGGUCAUGCUGGGGACUCUAACGAGACUGCCGGUGUAAACCGUGAGGAAGGUGGGGAUGACGUCAAAUCAGCACGGCCCUUAUAUCCAGGGCUACACACGUGUUACAAUGGUCGGUACAAAGGGCAGCUACCUGGUGACAGGAUGCUC